UUAGUAUUUUUUCUGUUUAAUUUGAAAACCUGAUAAAUAGAAAAAAAUGCUGGAUUGUUUGGUAUACAAUAAAAGAAACUCUUGUUUCAUCUGAUCUGAGGUACACCAGACUUUUACUGGAGACACAGUGUUCACAACGUAUAAUUGAAUCCUAGUACCUUUCACAGUUUUAGUUAGAGACCUUUAAGUGUUAUGUCUUUUAGUUUUCAGCUUUCCUCCACUGUUUUGGGAAAUGUCAUAUUCUUAUCUUGAAAGAGUAUCUCAAAAGUGAAGAUCUUAGAGCCAACAGGAACUUAAAGGACAGGAUUGCAGCCAUCCAAUAGAGUCGGAAGACUUUGGAUUCUGGAAUCUGAGAGAUAUCUGCAUUCUGAUGUAUUCUCUGCAAAUGCCACAAGGAAGAUGGUCAUGCAGGAGUUCCCUGUAUUUUUUCAGGUUUGUAUGUGAGUAAGAAAGUUUAAUUCUGGGGGGAAUUUUUGGGAUACUCAUUUGGACCACACAUCAAAGCCACAUUCUUGAAUUCAUAUUUUAUCAGUAACAAAAGUACUCAAAAGAUAUUUUGAUAGUCAUCUCUCAGCUUCUUGGGUAUUCUCAUCUAGUUUGCUAUUCAGAUGGAGAUAAGAGAGCCAUUAGUAUUAACCCUUAAAGUUCCAACUCAUUUUAAAGAAUAAUUCUUCUCUGUUAAGCUAUCAUAUUCCUUUUAUUAAAUAAUAAAUCUGCAUGGCUUUAGGAUAUUCUCUUCCA
rnacentral:lncRNA from 13 species